UAGGAAUCUGCCCGGUAGUGGGGGAUAACCUGGGGAAACCCAGGCUAAUACCGCAUACGUCCUACGGGAGAAAGCAGGGGAUCUUCGGACCUUGCGCUAUCGGAUGAGCCUAUGUCGGAUUAGCUUGUUGGUGAGGUAAUGGCUCACCAAGGCGACGAUCCGUAGCUGGUCUGAGAGGAUGAUCAGCCACAUCGGGACUGAGACACGGCCCGAACUCCUACGGGAGGCAGCAGUGGGGAAUAUUGGACAAUGGGCGAAAGCCUGAUCCAGCCAUGCCGCGUGUGUGAAGAAGGCUUUCGGGUUGUAAAGCACUUUCAGUGAGGAAGAAGGCCUUGGGGCUAAUACCCCCGAGGAAGGACAUCACUCACAGAAGAAGCACCGGCUAACUCCGUGCCAGCAGCCGCGGUAAUACGGAGGGUGCGAGCGUUAAUCGGAAUUACUGGGCGUAAAGCGCGCGUAGGCGGCGUGAUAAGCCGGUUGUGAAAGCCCCGGGCUCAACCUGGGAACGGCAUCCGGAACUGUCAGGCUAGAGUGCAGGAGAGGAAGGUAGAAUUCCCGGUGUAGCGGUGAAAUGCGUAGAGAUCGGGAGGAAUACCAGUGGCGAAGGCGGCCUUCUGGACUGACACUGACGCUGAGGUGCGAAAGCGUGGGUAGCAAACAGGAUUAGAUACCCUGGUAGUCCACGCCGUAAACGAUGUCG
rnacentral:rRNA from 1 species